UACGGAGGGGGCUAGCGUUGUUCGGAAUUACUGGGCGUAAAGCGCACGUAGGCGGCUUUGCAAGUUAGAGGUGAAAGCCCGGAGCUCAACUCCGGAAUUGCCUUUAAAACUGCAUCGCUAGAAUUGUGGAGAGGUAAGUGGAAUUCCGAGUGUAGAGGUGAAAUUCGUAGAUAUUCGGAAGAACACCAGUGGCGAAGGCGACUUACUGGACGCAUAUUGACGCUGAGGUGCGAAAGCGUGGGGAGCAAACAGG
rnacentral:rRNA from 1 species